UAGGCUCGUCAUCUCAAGACUGAGAAGCA
rnacentral:piRNA from 1 species